rnacentral:miRNA from 1 species
UGUGUGUGUGGAGAGAGAGAGAGAGAGAGAGAGAGAGAGAGAGAAACUGAAGGGAAAAAAAAUUACCCCUCUUAUUUCCUCUCUCUUGCUCUUUCUUCUCUUUUCUUU